UCCGGCCGCUGCGCGCGUUGGGAGCCGAGGCCGGUCCUACCCUCUUGGGCGGCGCGCCUCCACCCGGCCGGGCCCGGGCCCGGACCCCAUCCCCGCAGCGUGGCUGCCCUCCCGCGUCACGUCGGCGGCCCGAGGCUGCGGACUGCCAGUCAGACCCCUGGGACGCGCGGGCGUCUGGAGCAGACGGGCCUUUACUCAGCGCGGGGAGCGGGUGGACUGGACGCCCCUUCACUCCGCGUAGGUGGCGUCGUCGUUGCUGUCGCUGUAGGCGGAGGACGAGAGCUCCUCGCGCGGGGUGCAGGCCGGGCACCGCCGACGCAUGUCGUCCCAGCACGACUGGCAGUACACGGCCCCGCAGUCCGGCGUCGGGCACAGAUGAGAAAACGUGUGGAAAGGCAGUCACUUGCCCUGAGUUACAUGGUGACAGCUAGUGUGUGCAUGGAGCUUGCUAGGUGCCUGCUCCAUGAGAGUGAGACUCCCUUCGUUUUUCCAACAACCAGAUGGAACAGUAGUUCACUCUGUGUUCCAGAAGGGAAAAACUGACGGCCAGCAUUUAAGUAAGUACUCCAGAUCACAGUUGUCAUGGCAAUAAAGAAAGGAGCCAGGAUUCAAACCCAGGCCCUCUGGCACUGGCACCUCACUGGCACCCCACUGCCAUGCUAUUACUCAUCUCUGCACAGGCCUUACACAUCAGUGCUUCAGAGGGAAAAACUGAGGUCGGGGGAGGACCACCAAGGUCAUGCAGCUUAAUGAGGAAGUGUGGACUGGGAGCUGGUUCUUCUGCUCUGUGCUUGUUCCUUACUCCACUUGGCCCUUCCCGAUGCCUCCCUGCCUCCCCCAAAGACACUGAGCCUCUCAGUAGAACCUGUGGCUUGUGUUGGGUCACUUGUUUCUGGGGGAGACCCUUGCUUACUUUUAGCCAGACUGUACCAAAUCUGAUUCCCCCUUCCUGACUGCCUCCUGAGGGCCCACUGAGUGUCUCAGGCUGGGCUGAACCCUGGGGGACCGGAGGUGGAUGCAGCCCUGACCCCAGGAGCUGGAUGACCAGGGCCCUUGGCAUGCAUCACUUCAGAACUUGCUGAGCUCCGUGGGCUGGGCCCCUGGGGUUGGCCAGCCUGCUGGGAGGCUCCUCUUCCACGGUCCUCACAACCACAGGAGCCACGGGAGGAAGGCCUGGACUUACUGGAGGCUUCUGCUGUUGUGCCCGCCUCACGAUGGCAGCCCUCCUUAACUUCGUAAAGGCCGCCCUUUUCCUCAGCAGGUCAUUGUAGAGGAACAGGAUCCUCUUCUUCUCUCGCUGCGGCCGGCCGGGGACAAGGGGUCAGUGACAGUGCUGCCCCUCAGGGCGGGGUUGCUGGGGAGUUUGUGGGAGGGUGUACCUUGGGGAAGUAGAAGGCUGCGAUGACCCUCCGAAGUCGGUAGGCGAAGGCCUGGAGCAGGCAAAGGCACAGCAGCAGGCCCGUGGGGAGUGCGGCCCUCAGAUAAGCCCUGGCAUCCAGAGCCAUGGGCUGGGGCAGGCAGGCUGGGCAGAGGUGGGCCCAUCAGGGGUCGGCCAAGGCUGAGGGCAGGGUACCCCGCUGGGAUGGGGUGCAGUUUAGACUUCCAAUGACCUUGCCUAGCCCUCCCCCUGCCAGGCUGCACCUUCCACACCAUAGCUACCCGGCUGUUGAGGCUCUGCUCAACAUGGCACAGAUGUGAGAGGUUUCCAUCAUGGCAGAAAGUUCUGUUUGGCAGUGUUGCUCUAAGGCUGGGAUCCUUUGUCCCCAAGGCCUCCGCCCCUACACUGCUCUGACUCAAGGCUGCCAUCUUCCAGCAAUUCAAGUCUGACCGGACGUUUCCUGCUCUGAUGCCUCUAACCCCAGCAUGCUGACUGCCCCCCCUUGCCACACCUUGGAAAGACCCUGGCCCCCGCCCUCAAUUCCUCUGACCCAGACUUUCAGCAUCACUCACGCAUGUUGUUUGAUUCCACCACUGUCUCCGAGGAGCUGUUCAGGGCUCCAAUGGUUUUCCGAAGAAGCCGGGCAAGCAUGGAGUCCCCCCCGACUUUCACUUCCAAUUUAUGGCUGCCUGAGGUGUGGGAGGUCAGGAAAGGGUUGCAGUUUAGGGGAUGAGGCAGGAUGGGGACUGGAUGUGUGUGGGGGGGGUCAAGACAUAGAUAUCCUCUGCUACCCAGGCCCUCCCAUCCCUCCACUGAGUGCUAAGCCCUCCCUGUGGCAGAAAUAAAGGAGACCUGGAGACAGAGCCCUCCAGUGACAGCUGUCAGAUUGCAGGGUUGAGACCCGACCCUGAGCAGGUCAGUGAGGGGCUGGGCCCCAGAAGGAGGUGCCAGAACUAAAAGAAGUGGCCACAUGUGGAUGGGCAUCACUCACUGCGGAAGGAGUACUGUAGGAAGGAGUGGUGGCGGAUGGUGUCAAAGAUUGAGUAGAGAGCCCAGUCCAGGCCGCAGAGGAGCAGCAGCAGGAGCAGAACAGGCACUGUCUCCACGAGCUCUCUCACCUGUCAGAGGAGAGCAGGCCCUGAGCUGGGCAGCACCACCCGCCCUGCACGGAGGCCUCCUGAUGCCUCUGCCUUCACCCUGCAUGCCCAGCCUACAGUUGGCUCCAGGGGCCUCCCCCCACUCUAUCCUCACCACAUUUUUUGUUUCCGAGGCCUGCAUGGUGGGAUUAUAGGGGAAGAUGAUGGUCUUCUCCUCGGCUUUGCGGAGUGGCAGCAAAGUCCGUUUGCCCUGGAUAAAAUGUCCACCCUGUGAGGGACACCAGGGCCCUCUCCCCUUGGCCCUCUGCCCUUCUGGAGCCUGAAGCCACAGAGGGCACACAGCAAGGUGCCUGUGGUCAGGGCUGUUCCCACUCACCAACUUCUUCCUGCGUUCAUCAAUCUGACAGAAGUAGGUGCUGAUAUAGAUGUUGUCAAAGCGGAUGUCGCCAUUGUAGCUGUCCACAUAGGAGAAGGACCUGUGCAUGAAGACAUCUCCAUGUCCUCCAAGCUCUCUUCACCCACCCCCAACCACGGGCUUCCUGGAUGCUCGGUCAUUCCCCAGACCACCCAGCAUGGCAGAGACACUCUGUCAGCAGCCUGCAGUCCGGUGCAAGGUGGGUACCCAUACAAGCGAGGAGACACAGGUGAAAAGGCAGGGAGGAUCGUGUGCCCGGGCGAGAGGGGAGCUUUCCCAGGUGUGGAUCCAGCUGGCCAGAUCUCAAGCAGAGGAAGCAGCAGGAGCAAAGGCAGAGAGAGGCGGGGAGCCCCUCAAGGCUACAGAACCACCAGCCAUUACGCUGGACUCCCACAUCCACCUCUGGACCCACCGGCAGUACAUCUGGAGGUCACUUCAAACAAAACUCAUCCCCCACCUACAUUUCCCUCCUUUCCCGUAAACCCUUGAGAAAGCAGUGUUUUCUGUUGUGUGCUGGUAAGGGGCUCUUCCGGGUGCACGUCCCAAAGUCCCACAUGAUGCUUCGGUUUCCUAAGGAAAAGAUGUUAAUUACUGGGGAUGUGUUUCAAAGUGAAAGUUACUUCAAAUACUCUCUGUAAACUGUGAAACAUGAGUUCCAGCGCCGUGGUACUAAACCCUGUAAAAAUCCUCUUCAAAGGCCGAAAGCGCAGUAAAUGCCGAGGCAGCCCGUGAGCGCCCCCGUGUGGCAGCCGUCCGCUCGCCCGCCCCGCCCUCUGGCCAGCUCGGGCCUCGCCGCCGCCGUGGCCAGGGCCCUCGCCCAGGCUCAGAGCCUGGAAGCCGACUCUGCCUCCUCCCUCUCUCCCUCCCUCCCUCCCUAAACUGGCUUUGAGACCUGCAGCACCUUUCCUCUUCCUGCCGCCAUCUCGGGCCAGCUUCCUGCCACGCCCUGCUCCCCCUCAGGCUCUCUAACCCCUGACCCACCUUGGCCUCCCAGCCUGCAGCCUGCAGGGCUUUCCAGACUCUUCUGGCCACAACUGCUUCAGUCCCGUCCUUUAGCCCAGCCUCUGCCAUCUACACCCCACAGAAGCAGUGAUCUCUGCCCCAAAAGAACUCCUUCCUCUCCUUGACCGUGUCUCCCCACCUGCAGCCUUUUGAACCCCAAUGAUGGCCGUUGCAGGGGCAUGUCCUCAGCUCCCACCCCUGUCCCCAGAGCCAGGUGGUAGCCAAGCCCUCCAACCAUCUGUGUUUCCUGGGUGCCUCUCUGGCCUCCCCUAGACCACCAGCGUCUUGAGAGCAGGAAGACAGUGCCCUCAUCUCUGUCUUCGCACUGGGCCCUCGCCCUCGGCACACACCUGCCCCACAGACGGGGCUCUGAGCAGGAGCCCCACCCUCCCCGCACUCCCCUUGCCCGGCAUCUCAGGACUCUGGGGGCGGAGACAGGAAACAGGGUCCAGAGGUCAGCAGGGAGACCCAGUGAGGCCCAGGGCAGCCCAGCUGGACACCCGGCUGGGUGGGGUUGAGGACUUUGGUCCAAAUGGAGGGAAAGUGGCUGCCAACACAGCAGGCGGCAGAAAAUGAAAGCAGGGUUGGACGAUAAAAAUGGGCAAAGUCAGAGCCAAGGGGAAUAUGAAGGGCAAGAGAAAAAUCAAAAGUCAGAGCUGAGAGUAAAAGAAGUCAGUGCUGGGAUGAAGGCCAAAAGAGGCAGAUAAAGGGAGGCCGUCUCCCUUUCAAGGUGGUGGGAGCACCGGCAGUGGGCAGCAUGUCUCUGUGCUGCUAAGCCCCCUCCGUGGGGGCGGGGUCUUCUGUCAGGGACCCUGGGGCAUCAGGGAUGGAGGGCUCACGCGCGGAAAACCAGCAGGAAAGUGCAGGACAACAGUACUCGCAGCAGCCCCAGCGUCCACUCCAGCUGGGCCUCCUGCUGGAGGACAUAGUCCUGCAGCUCCGCGCUCACGUGUUCCCAGCUCGUGUUGAGGCCCAGCAUCCACGCCUGCUUUUCUUCCUGGUGGAGGGCACAGGUGCAGGCACGACCCUCCUUGCCAUCUGCGGCCAGCCGCUGCCCCACCCCAUGUCCCCCCAGCUCUCCCCAGGACCUGCAGGACCCCCGUGUGCAGAGACCUAACGCCCUGGGGCGCGGCACCCUCCUCCGCCCGGCCCCACUCCCAGGCUGACGCCCUCUCACACCUGGCUGACCUCUGGAACCCAGAGUCAGGCCUGGGCAGACCGCAGGCUGGCACUGCCCCCUCCCUGUCACCCAGCACCAGCCCCGUUCCGGCCUCGUUCUCUCCCCUACCCCUUCAUCUCCUCAUCUGCUUUGGCCAUGCCCUGUGUCCUCCACCCACUCCCUCGCUCAUCCCAGCCCCUGCCUCCUACCUUGAGGUCAAUAGUGGCUGAAAACUCCCCACCCAGGUCAUGGAUAGACUGGUUGACAGAGUCAUAGGUCUGCCCGAAGUUGCCUUCCACAGGGAUGCGACUGCGGCACCACACCUCCAUCGCUGUGGGGCGGGGGUACAGGUCAGAGUCUGGGGGCCUGUGCCCGCUUCCCACCGCCCACGUCUCCACCUGCGGUUCCUCUGUCCAACUAUGUGCCGGUCUGCCCAUGACCUCCUUCCUCACUGAGGCUUUCCCCUUUCUGCCCUGCUUGGAUCUUGGGUCCCGGGAACAAAGCCCAAUUUUCCCUCACUUUUCUCACCUAUUUGUAACCAUGCCAACUAUGAAUAGUGAUGGCAACAUUUAUAAGAGAAUUCCUUUGUAUGUUACUUGCUUCACAUGUAUUGCUCCCUUAAAUCCUCAGAACCCCCUAAGGGGAUGAGGACUAUUAUUAUGCCCAUCCUUCAGAUGAACAGACAGAUCUCAGAGCCUGCCUGAGCACAAGCUGGGGGGCAGAGCCAGCCAGCAGAAGGGUUGGGGGUGCUGGUGCCCUCAGCAUCUGUGCCCUGCCCAUUUCGGGCUUUCCUACCCAUAUGCCCACCCAGCAGUCCCCGGCCUGGUGUCCCCACCCUCCCCUCACCCCACCGACCCCUGGCAAUGCUGCAGAAAAAUUUGAACGUCAUGGGCAGGCAGAGCAGGUGGUUGAGCAGCGGAACCCAGAUGCGCUGCAUGCACUGUUUGUGUUUCUGGUCAAACCAGCGCUGGCAGCUGAGGAUGGCCUGGUCCACCACAUCUGCAGGAAGGGGCAAGGAACAGGUGAGGCCCCAGCCCCAACCUGGAGCCCCGGCCCCAGCCUGCGUCCAGCACGACCCUCACAGGAGCAGCGCAGCUUGGUCUUCAGCUCAUACAUCUUCUGUGUGGAGAGGUGGUACCUGGAUGGCACAGCUCGGUACAUCUCUCCACCUCGGGCUGUACCCUCCAAGCCCAUGGAGUUCUCCAGUGUGUAGCCAGUCUCGCUGUUCACCUGGUCAUCCAGGUCCUCAAAGGACUUGGUGAUGUUCUGAGUCUCGGCUUUCAGUGAGUCUUUGCUGGCCUGGGGUUGGAGGGCAAGGAAGGAGCUGUGGUCAGCGGGGCAGCCGAGGAGCCCAGGCCCCUGAGAGGCCUCUCACUCUGUGCUCCACUCUUCAGUCCUCAGGGACCCCCGCUUCCUGUCACCAGUGGCCCCGGGUCUGCCCCUGCGCAGCUCCCAGCUUCUUGCAGGCCCCCGUCUCAGAUCCCUGCUAGUGACAGAGGAUUCCCAGACCCUUGGACUUCACACUAACCACCCAGACCCUAUGCCAUCUCCAUGUCCCCAGUCUCCCCAACACCAGCCCGUCCCCCCAACUCCCCAACUCUCCAAUUCUCCCACACCCCAGCCUCCAGUCCUCCCAGCUCAAUUCUGUGAUCCCUGGGGCCUCAGAGCUUCCUGACUCCUCAGGCCAAGGCCCCCGGUUUCCAGCUGCCCAGAGUACUGCCUACCCAGGUGUUUGGAAACGAAGGGUGGGGGCUUGUGUGUCCCAUGACUGGGGGUGGGGGCUUCCCCGGCAGUUAGUGCCCAGGGUACAUCCUGCAAUGUUUAAGGACUGUCCUGCAAAAAAUGCCAGUGGUGCCCCAUUAGGAAACUGAGUCCAGGAUCACAAAUCAUUCCGGGCCCCUGGGGAGUGGGGCCCAGGCCUUGCCCGUGCAAGGUCCUGACCAGCAGGUCCUUGAGCACUGCCCGCAGCGGGCCCACGGAGACGCGCCAGGCCUUGCGCGUGUUGUUGAUCUGCAGCUGUACAGUGCAGCCCAGCGACGAGAUCACCUCGUUGAGGUUGUUCCGCAGGUUGGCCGCCGGUCCUGCAGGAAGAUGUCCUGGUGGGUCUCCCUCUGGAGCCAGCCACUUCCUGAAGACCCCCUUUGUGCCUGCUCUGCAUACAUGGACUGCCUUCUAGAAUUGUACUGUGGUAGGACCCCAGAGCCUGGGAGCGGUCAUGCCCUCACCUGCUGUUUGUGUUUACCUGGGUGAGGCAUGGGGACCCAGAGAUGCAGAGGCACUGUCUGGGGGCACACAGCGAAUUGGAGCAGCUGGGAUCAGACUCCCACUCUUCCUCCUUCCCUGGGUCUUACCGGAUGGCCCCCUGGGAUCCUUGCUCAGGUCACAGACUGCUACCCAGGGACACAGACUCACCCUCAUAGAUAGCAGCCAGGGCGUAUCCCAGCACGAAGAGCCUGCCCUCUUUGCCCAGCAUCUUAGGGACAAGCAGGAGGCUGGCACAGCGGAUGUGCGGGGAGGUCCCCCAGCCCACGACCCCCAAGCCUGUUGGGAGAAACCAGCGGGUGCUGAGGCCAAGGGAGGAUGCUGCCUGACUCACAAGGCUUAGCAGAGCACCCACACCCCAACUUCUUUCUAGCAGCAUCACCACACUGCCUUUACCCCAUUUACCCCAGCUCCACUCAUCUGUGUACUGAGUGAACAGCCGUUUACAGAGCUGAGCUGUGUGGUGGCUCUGGAGGGGCUCAGAGAGACACCAGAGGUCCAAGAGCCCUGGUCAGUGACUGAGGGUGUGUGUGUGUGUGUGUGUGUGUGUGUGUGUGUGUGUGUACAUGCAGGAAGGGGAAGCCGUCCUCUGUGCCAGCCAAGGUGCUGAGGGAGCAGGGAGAGCGAGAGAGUUCUGCAGACAGUCACUGGUACUCGGAGCCACCUUGUGGUUCCCAGUUUCCCGUGCUCUGACCCCUGCCCCUCUGGCAAUCCCCGUCCCUAAUGUCAGCCCUUAAUCACGUCCCUCUCUGUAACACUCUGUGUUAGCAGUUUCAUGUGUGUCUCCCUGUGGUCUCUGCAAGGAGACACAGAGAGCUCCUUGGAGCUCAUAAUGCAGGGAGAGAGACGGCGAAUAAACAAAUGACUACAA